GACGAACGCUGGCGGCGUGCUUAACACAUGCAAGUCGAACGGAAAGGCCCUGCUUUUGUGGGGUUCUCGAGUGGCGAACGGGUGAGUAACACGUGAGUAACCUGCCCUUGACUUUGGGAUAACUUCAGGUAACUGGGGCUAAUACCGGAUAGGAGCUCCUGCUGCAUGGUGGGGGUUGGAAAGUUUCGGCGGUUGGGGAUGGACUCGCGGCUUAUCAGCUUGUUGGUGGGGUAGUGGCUUACCAAGGCUUUGACGGGUAGCCGGCCUGAGAGGGUGACCGGCCACAUUGGGACUGAGAUACGGCCCAGACUCCUACGGGAGGCAGCAGUGGGGAAUAUUGCACAAUGGGCGGAAGCCUGAUGCAGCAACGCCGCGUGCGGGAUGACGGCCUUCGGGUUGUAAACCGCUUUCGCCUGUGACGAAGCGUGAGUGACGGUAAUGGGUAAAGAAGCACCGGCUAACUACGUG
rnacentral:rRNA from 1 species